GCUUCCUUGGUGUAGUUGGUUAUCACGUGGGUCUCAUAUCAUCAUAUAUGAUCUAGCCUUGUCUAGAGCAAUCCCAAGGUCGCCAGUUCGAUCCUGGCAGGGAGCA